CAAAAACACUAAGGAUUUAUUUCUUAUAGUAAUGCAAUAAGUUGAUACUUUUAUCCCCAUCUUCUUAUCAAGUUGCUCAAUUACCCAGCAAGCAAACUAUAACACAAGUUAGUGACAGGAUUCAAGUGAGGGCCAGUUACACACCCAGGAGUUCCCAGGAAGGGGACACUGCAUCCGGACGAGGGGGAGAAAACCUCGUUUUCUGCUUCCAUUGCUAUCAUCUCUGGCUUCCUGUUGCUUUGGCCCAUGGAUGGAGUUGUUGCUGAGGGCUUAGCCUUCCCUGGUGGCCCUGAAGGCAGCAGUGGCCAAUUCCGGGUCCUGGGCCUCAAACUCCUUACUUGUUUGUGCUUCUGGUAGAUUAUCUGGGUCCGGCUCAAGAUUGUUCAUUAAAGGUUCUUUCCAGAAUUAUCUGGUAUUCAGCUACAACACAGAAGGGCUUUAAUUCCAGGAAUAAACAAAACCAAACUACUACCCGAUUCGGCAUGCAAACUGUUACCUCAAGAAGGAAAGAAGAAAAUGGAAUGCAAAAACCAUUGUGUCUAAACAUUGACCAGAUGUGUGAAAAACUUAUUUUAAUGAGGGGCACUGUGACUCACUAAGCAGUAAAACUUGAGUCCUGAU
rnacentral:lncRNA from 1 species